rnacentral:rRNA from 1 species
UGCAUGCUUUUACAGUAUGGAAAUUGGUGAUUUAUAAUAACUUGGCAAAUCGCAAAGUGAAAACAGGCGAUAAAUCAUUCAAGUUUCUGACCUAUCAGCUUUCGACGGUAUGGUAUUGGCUUACCGUGGCAGUGACGGUUAACGGGGGAUUAGGGUUCGAUUCCGGAGAGGGAGCCUGAGAAACGGCUACCACAUCUAAGGAAGGCAGCAGGCGCGCAAAUUACCCAAUUCUAACAGUUUGAGAGAGGUAGUAACAAGAAAUAACAAUACAAGGCAAUUAAAAUGCUUUGUAAUUGGAAUGAUAGAAAUUUAAACCCUUUUUAAAGUAUCAAUUGGAGGGCAAGUCUGGUGCCAGCAGCCGCGGUAAUUCCAGCUCCAAUAGCGUAUAUUAAAAUUGUUGCAGUUAAAAAGCUCGUAGUUGAAGUUCUGCUAAAAGUAACCGGUCUGCUUUUAAUAAAAGUGGUAUCUUGG